GUGCUCACUUCAGCAGCACAUAUACUAAAACUGGAACAACACAGAGAAGAUUAGCAUGGCUCCUGCACAAAGAUGACAUGCAAGUUCGUGAAGCAUUUCAUAUUUAU